GGAGAUAAUUUCUUUAUAUCUUCCCUAACAAGGCAGUGAAUACAAAAGAUAAAAAUAUACAGUAUAAAUGUAAGAAAAUACUUGGUUUGCUUUAAAGUCACACUGCUGCCACCCAGUGGCUGUUUGCAGGAAUGUCAGGCACAAUGUCAACUCAGGUAUAUUCACCAUUUAACUCCUUAACCUUAAGCUGUUCUUCUUUCUGGAAAGGUUACACAUUGGAGGAGGCCAAACAAGAAGGGGUGUUUAGCGGGGAGAAAAAGUCACCGCCGCCGCCACCGCCGCCGCAGAAACCUUCUUCGGACAAGUGUCCGUACUCGUUGUUGUAGAAGGUCUGACCUGACAGCUGGCUGAAGAAGUUAGGACAAUGUCUGGAGCUGAUGGCGCCAAAGCUUCGCCCCAGAGAACCAUGGGAGGAGGUCAGAGGUUCUGUGCUGCUGCUGCUGCUCAUGCGCCUGACGCUCACUUUCACUCUGGAAAGAUGUUGACUCUACAAGAUGUUGGAGUGUUGUCCAUUCAUCCGCAAGAACAUUGAGACAUCAAUCUUAGUGGAUUUUCCACUCUAUCUACUGGAAGGACAGCAGUGACAAGCACCUUCCAGCUCACCCCUUCAAGAUGAAGUGAGUACUUGCAAGUGCCUCCCUUAUAACAGUUCUAUGUAUUUGAGUGUCUGAUUAGCACGAAGGUCACAAAGUCAUUGUGUAUAAUAAAUGUUGUAAUAUUGGCAACCUGCUGAUAAACAGAAACUGACAGGUGCCAUGAAUGAACGGUCGGCAGAGCUUGCACACUAAUGUGAGAAGAGACACUCGAGGCAUCUUCUGCCCUGUAUUCAAUAAGGAAAUGUGCAAUCAAACGAUUGGAAUCAUGCAGAAUUUUUCUUUAACUUUUCAUUGUGACAGAUGCCCCUAAACAUGCAGUAUUUGGUGAUAAGGUGACCUUUUUUUUAAAGCUAUUUUGGCUCAAUCCG